GAUGAACGCUGGCGGCGUGCUUAACACAUGCAAGUCGAACGGAAAGGCUCCUGCUUGCAGGGGUACUCGAGUGGCGAACGGGUGAGUAACACGUGGGUGAUCUGCCCAGCACUUCGGGAUAAGCCUGGGAAACUGGGUCUAAUACCGGAUAGGACGAUGGUUUGGAUGCCAUUGUGGAAAGUUUUUUCGGUGUGGGAUGAGCUCGCGGCCUAUCAGCUUGUUGGUGGGGUAAUGGCCUACCAAGGCGUCGACGGGUAGCCGGCCUGAGAGGGUGUACGGCCACAUUGGGACUGAGAUACGGCCCAGACUCCUACGGGAGGCAGCAGUGGGGAAUAUUGCACAAUGGGCGCAAGCCUGAUGCAGCGACGCCGCGUGGGGGAUGACGGCCUUCGGGUUGUAAACUCCUUUCGCUAGGGACGAAGCGCAAGUGACGGUACCUGGAGAAGAAGCACCGGCUAACAACGUG
rnacentral:rRNA from 1 species